rnacentral:tRNA from 1 species
UAGGUAGAACGCGGGUCUCCAAAACCCGAUGUCGUAGGUUCAAAUCCUACA